AACGAACGCUGGCGGCAUGCCUAACACAUGCAAGUCGAACGAGACCUUCGGGUCUGGUGGCGCACGGGUGCGUAACGCGUGGGAACCUGCCCUUAGGUUCGGAAUAACUCCCCGAAAGGGGUGCUAAUACCGGAUAAUUUCUUCGGACCAAAGAUUUAUCGCCUUUGGAUGGGCCCGCGUUGGAUUAGCUAGUUGGUAGGGUAAAAGCCUACCAAGGCGACGAUCCAUAGCUGGUCGGAGAGGAUGAUCAGCCACACUGGGACUGAGACACGGCCCAGACUCCUACGGGAGGCAGCAGUGGGGAAUAUUGGACAAUGGGCGAAAGCCUGAUCCAGCAAUGCCGCGUGAGUGAUGAAGGCCUUAGGGUUGUAAAGCUCUUUUAACCGGGAUGAUAAUGACAGUACCGGGAGAAUAAGCUCCGGCUAACUCCGUG
rnacentral:rRNA from 1 species